CCUACGGGGGGCAGCAGUAGGGAAUAUUGCUCAAUGGGGGAAACCCUGAAGCAGCAACGCCGCGUGGAGGAUGAAGGUUUUCGGAUUGUAAACUCCUUUUGUUAGAGAAGAUAAUGACGGUAUCUAACGAAUAAGCACCGGCUAACUCCGUGCCAGCAGCCGCGGGAAUACGGAGGGUGCAAGCGUUACUCGGAAUCACUGGGCGUAAAGAGCGCGUAGGCGGGAUAGCAAGUCAGAUGUGAAAUCCUAUGGCUUAACCAUAGAACUGCAUUUGAAACUGUUAUUCUAGAGUAUGGGAGAGGUAGGUGGAAUUCUUGGUGUAGGGGUAAAAUCCGUAGAGAUCGAGAGGAAUACUCAUUGCGAAGGCGACCUGCUAGAACAUAACUGACGCUGAUGCGCGAAAGCGUGGGGAGCAAACAGGAUUAGAUACCCUAGUAGUC
rnacentral:rRNA from 1 species